AGGCACCAGUUGACCAAACUUACAGUGGUGCUCAGGCUUCAACUACUUAUAGCGCACCAUAUACUGGACAACAAGCCUAUGCUCAACCAGCUCCAGUUCCUGCUGCAGCCCCGGCUCAGCCUGGUUAUGAUCAAUCCAUGGCUCAAUCAGGUGGUUAUGCAACUGUACCUGCUGCUGCUGGUUACGUGAAGAGUGUCUCGCCCCAGCCUGGUUAUGCACAGUAUGAUGCUAAUCAGAUGUAUGGUGCCCCAAGGUGAACUUGUUAUCUGAUGAAAUUGUUUCAGGGAAUGUGUUCCGGUGUUCUUGUUCACAACUAGGCUGUUAGUUCGUAUUAGUUUGAAUUUCAGAUCAUUUUCAUUGCACAUGGAAUAUUUUAUUAGUGCAAUGUGUACUUUGUUUUUGCUUUGUCAGCAUCAUACGCGCCUAAUCAUAAAUGCUAAGAAUUUAUGGGAAGUCUGUAUUUUCUGCUUUACAAAUUUUUUGUAGGCAUAUGGAACUCUUGUGCUAGUUGUAGAAAUGUAUUUUCAAAGUCUUGCGCUGGUAGAUUUUCAAAUCUGUUGUUGACAAUUUCAG
rnacentral:lncRNA from 1 species